UACGUAGGCAGCGAGCGUUGUUCGGAGUUACUGGGCGUAAAGGGCUCGUAGGCGGCCAACUAAGUCAGACGUGAAAUCCCUCAGCUUAACUGGGGAACUGCGUCUGAUACUGGAUGGCUUGGAUUUGGGAGAGGGAUGCGGAAUUCCAGGUGUAGCGGUGAAAUGCGUAGAUAUCUGGAGGAACACCGGUGGCGAAGGCGGCAUCCUGGACCAACAUUGACGCUGAGGAGCGAAAGCCAGGGGAGCAAACGGG
rnacentral:rRNA from 1 species